rnacentral:misc_RNA from 1 species
AACGCACAUUGCGCCCCUUGGUAUUCCGAGGGGCAUGCCUGUUCGAGCGUCAUUACAACCCUCAAGCUCUGCUUGGUAUUGGGCGCCGUCCUCUCGCGGACGCGCCUCAAAGACCUCGGCGGUGCCGUCAAGCACUCAAGCGUAGUAGUAACACACCCCGCUUUGGAGAGUUUGGCGUCGCCCGCCGGACGAACCUUCCGAACUUUUCUCAAGGUUGACCUCGGAUCAGGUAGGGAUACCCGCUGAACUUAA